rnacentral:rRNA from 1 species
AACGAACGCUGGCGGCAGGCUUAACACAUGCAAGUCGAACGCAUGCCUUCGGGCAUGAGUGGCAGACGGGUGAGUAACGCGUGGGAACCUACCCCUUGGUACGGGAUAGCUCCGGGAAACUGGAGAUAAUACCGUAUGUGUCCUGAGGGACAAAGAUUCAUCGCCAAGGGAUGGGCGCGCGUCGGAUUAGCGAGUUGGUGGGGUAACGGCCUACCAAGGCGACGAUCCGUAGCUGGUCUAAGAGGCUGAUCAGCCACAUUGGGACUGAGACACGGCCCAAACUCCUACGGGAGGCAGCAGUGGGGAAUAUUGGACAAUGGGCGCAAGCCUGAUCCAGCCAUGCCGCGUGAGUGAUGAAGGCCCUAGGGUUGUAAAGCUCUUUCACCGGUGACGAUAAUGACGGUAACCGGAGAAGAAGCCCCGGCUAACUUCGUG